rnacentral:ncRNA from 2 species
CUUGCGAUUACUCCAACAUUUUUAAUCGCAUAGGGCUAACAAAGGGAGGAAGUACCGUAGCUCGCGGUGCGGCAGUGUGGAGACCUGCUGUAAGGCCUGCGCUCUUGCGGGGCGAGAUGGGUAUCGGAGGAGUCCGUGCCCAUCAGAGCAAAAUGAGAAUGGCA